AUGCCGCCCCCGCCGCCGCUCGACUCCCUGCCACCGCCGCCGCCGCCGCUGCCGGAUUUCUCGCCGUCGCCGGCGAAGAUCCACCGCUCCAUCAGCAUGCCCCUGCCGCCUUCUGCCGGCGAUAAGAAUCCCGCCAUGCUCCAUGUCGACUCCAUUAGGGAGGAGGAUUCAAUGAGCUGGCAUGAGUUAGAAGAUUGAUGUAGUCGCUGGGUCAAGGAAUUAGGCGUAGGACAUCUCCUCCGCCCGCGGCGCCGCCUUCUUCUCCUCCUCCUCCAGCUCCACCGACGCCAGCGCCAGCGCCCGAGACGGCCGCGACUCCUGAGCCUCCACCGCCUACUCCUCCUCCUCCCCCGCCCUCGUCGGAGAUGAAGUCCGGAGUUGACACUUGGGACUAUUUCUUCUCCAUGGACGAGGGGAUGGCCUCCAUCGCCCCCGAUGACGACGAGAUCAUGGCUGGGCCGGAAGAGGAGAAGUACGUCCCGGCAUCGCCACCGCGCCCGCCUCCCUCUCCUCCUCCGCCGGCGGCGGUGCCACUGUCGGAGGAGUUUGAGGAGGAGCCGCGGACGCCGGAGAUGGUCGCGCCGCCUCCGUCGCUGCCACCGAAGCCCCCGAAGAAUUCGUCCAAGAAGAAGAAGGGGAAGGGGAAGCUUAAGGCAGCGCACCACCAGCACACAGAGUCGGCGCCGCCGGUCACGCUGGUUGGCGGUGGUAAGGCAGGGAAGAUAGUCCCCGAAAUGCCGCGUGUGGACCUCCUCCGGGUGCUCGCGGAAAUCGACGAGAGGUUCUUGAAGGCGUCGGAGAGCGCCGGUGAGGUAUCCAAGGUGCUGGAGGCCAACAGGAUGCAUUACCACUCCAAUUUUGCCGACAACCGAGGGCAUAUUGAUCAUUCUGCGAGAGUCAUGAAAAUAAUUACAUGGAAUAGAUCCUUCAAAGGCAUGCAAAAUGGUGAUGAAGGGAAGGAUGACUUUGAAAAUGAUGAAUGGGAGACCUUGGCAACUGUGGUAGAUAAAAUCUUAGCAUGGGAGAAAAAGCUCUAUGAUGAAGUGAAGGCUGGUGAGAUUAUGAAGCUUGAGUAUCAGAGGAAGGUUGCUUUGUUAAAUAGACAAAAGAAACACAAUGCUGCCAUUGAGGUUCUGGAGAAAACGAAAGCUGCUGUAACCCACUUGCAUACAAGAUACAUAGUUGAUAUGCAAUCAAUGGAUUCAACUGUGUCAGAAAUUCAGCAUCUCCGUGACAAUCAACUUUACCCAAGAUUAUUGGACCUUGCUGACAGGAUGGCAAAAAUGUGGGAGGACAUGCACAUGCAUCACGCUAACCAGCUGAAAACUGUGCUAAAGCUGAAGUCAGUUGACAUUUCUGAUGCCAAUAUUGAAACAAGUGAUUAUCACCACAGCCACACGCGCCAGCUGCGUGAUAUUGUAGAUAAGUGGAUCACAAACUUUACUGACCUCAUGAGUUAUCAAAAGGAAUACAUCAAUGCUCUCUAUGGCUGGUUGAAGCUGAACCUGAUACCCAUUGAGAGCAGCUUGAAGGAGAAAGUAGCAUCACCACCCAGGAUGCAGCAACCUCCUAUCAAAGCCUUUCUUCAGGCCUGGAAUGAGCACCUAACCAAGCUGCCUGAUGAUCUAGCCAAGACAGCCAUUGUCAGUUUCCGAGCAGUCUUGGAGACUAUAUUAGGCGUUCAAGACGAGGAGUUGAAACAGAAGGAGAUCUGCGAGCAGACUCGCAGGGAAUAUGCGCGGAAGGCCCGGGCUUUUGAGGACUGGUACCACAAGCACUCACAGCGCAGAACGUUUGACGUUGAUCCAGAGACCGGCGAGGGAACAGGCCACAAGGAUGCAGUCACAGAGAAGAAAUUCGCGGUGGAGAGCUUGAAGAGCAAGCUCGAUGAUGAGAUUGAAUCCCACAAUAAGCUGUCGAAGCAAGUCAGGGAGAAGUCCCUGUCAAUCCUGAAGGCACACCUGCCAGAGCUGUUCCGCGCCCUGGCUGACUUCUCCAAUGCUUCUUUUGAUAUGUACUCGAAGCUGAGGCUUAUGUCCUUGAUGCAGGAUCAGGGCAACAACUAGCUGAAGGAUAUGUACAGGAGUUAGAUUGCUAGUAAUAUCCCUCCUCCCUCCUAAUGUUGUACUGCUUGUGUUGUUCACCUACCCCCUUUUUGCGGUACAUGUAGCUCUUUAGACGAGGACUGUUAGGGAUGGUGGCUGUUCGUUUUCUUUAUUUAAUUUAUUGAAUUCUUCAGGUAUUUCAGCAUGAGCUUCUUUCGGAAUUCGGAUGGCUUGCUGAAUUUAAAGUA